rnacentral:tRNA from 1 species
GCUCCCAUUGUCUAAUGGUUAUGACGUCAGACUUCUAAUCUGGAGGUUGCGGGUUCGAGUCCCGCUGGGAGUA